GCCCGCGCCCUCCUCCUCCGAGCAUGGUGGCAGGUCCUGGCGCCCCCCGGACCUGUAGGUCUGGAAGGCAGGGGGCGCCCGGAGCAGGCGCCGCCUGCCCUCGCCACCUGUUGGAAUGGUGAAGCCGGAGACCUCGUACUGCCGGUGGCGGCGACGCGCGGCUACGGGCGGACUCGCGCUCAGCAGCCAAAGUGAAUCCCAGCCGCGGUUUCUGUUGAUAAGUGGAAAGAACAACCCUCUUGGUGAUAAGUGCACACCCUCCCCCCAAUUUUGAGGUAAUUCAGGCCCUGGCCUGCGACCUCCUCCAGGAACGGGGCUCAUGGGCGUUUAGGCUCCGAGGAGCCGGCCAUACUGCAGGCGGGUAGGCGCAGGCGGAGCGCCAGGUGGGGGCACAGGGCGCCCUUGGCAGCGUCGGCUACAUCGCCCCAUCCCGGCCCGAGGAGGAGCAGCCUCGCCCCGCACGUCCCGGAGGCUCGGGCCCAGCUUCGGCCCCGCGCCCGGUACUCGGCUCCGAGCUGACCCCGCCACCUCGCCGCCGCGGGCAGCGGCCGCGGAACUCCGCAGCCCCAGGCGGGAGCAGAACCUGGGCGCUGGCCGACGCAACUUAGGCUGAGAGGGAAGUCGCGUACGCUGUGCGGAUCUGCGGGGCGCGACGAAUGCGACCCCGAGUCGCGCAGGAGACCUAGCCUCAGAGAAGGCAUUGGCUUCUGAGUCUGUCAAACCUAAACGGAGAGACUGUAAAGGAAGAAGUCUCCCAACCCUUCGCAAAAAUAUAAACCAUCUGGAAAAGAAAGCAUCUACUGGAUGGAAGGAGACGAUUGCAAAUGAAAGCAAUAGAAUUCAAAGGACUGAAGAAUCUGUGUGAUGCUACAGAUGAAAGCUCUAUCCAGAAAUUGAAGUAGAGGAGUAUGGCAACAUCAGAAGUUGUGUGUUAAAGCUGGUGGAGCCACAAUAUGGAAGGAGCCUAGGAUCCUGAAUCAGUGCCCAGAGCUUGUCCAAUUUCAGUUUUUCUUUUACUGAGGCCAUGGAUCCCUCCAUCCCCACCUUGACACUGGAAUUCUGCCUAAAAUGAAACAGCAACAGAACAGAGGUCAAGAACUUGGAAGGAUUCAUGUGGAAGAAACCAGAGCUGCAGUCACAGAGAUACAGGUAUAGGUCGGCAGAAACAAACAGUUCCUGAAGCACUUUCCUCCACAACCUUAAGCGAUUCUCUCAACUACCUAUAAAGUCAGACUGGCUGGUGUUCUGGUGACUCUCAUUUCUCCUCCAAGGAAACCAAGUCUCAGAGAGUUUAGCAUCCAGAUUUUGGAUCGAAUUUGAAGAAAAGGAAUCAUUUUCUCAACUGUGACAAUGCUUGAAACAACUUCUUGAACUCAUUUAGCUGCCGCUGCCACUGAUCCUAUUGUUUUGUUUUUUACAUCAUCAGAAUUUGAUCAAAGGGUUCACAAAAAUUAGAAAUACAGAGAGCAGAACACGCUGUGCGUCAGCUGCUGUAGAGAACAGAUGAAACAAACCCCGGGGUUUAUCGGGGGCCUGGGACUAACCCAGCCAGCAGCUUCCAAUAGAGCAGAGUUGCAAAUAAUUUCAAAUCCUUUUUUAUGAGCUUUUGUGAAAAUAAAUCUGGGUGCACACUAGAUCAACAAGCACUCUCCAAGAUGCAGGACAACCCAAAGAAGAUCCUGUGAUCUGGCUACAUCAAAUGCUGCUGCUUCAACAUUAGAUUGUAUAAUAAAUGUAAGUGACAAAAUAAGGAAUGAACUUUUUCAUGAGUUCUGAAAUGAUUCUACUUGUGUCAUUUUCUACCAUGAUUAUCAAGGAGUGUUGUCAUCUCAUUUGUGGAGGCUUUACAAGUGUUUUUUGUACAACUAAUGCUUGUUCUUUUUUUUUUCUUUUGAAAACGGACAGUACAGAGAAGCAAUUAGAAACCGUCAAUGACCUUUGUCUCUAAGAAUGUAUAUUGCUAAUUUUGAGAUAUUUUAUUCUGGUAUUUUCACUAUAGAUUGUCAUAUACAGUUAAUGUUAAAUGUAAGUGUGUACUAUCUGAUAUAUAAAAAGCAUGUAAGCCAUGAGGUGUAAUAAUAAAGUGCAUCCCUGAAAAUAAACCAGGGACCAAAGAGUCAUUGCUAACUUGGCACUUUCCCCUGGAUUCCUCCCCUACUAUUUGCCUGCUUUGCUCCCUAGUCCCAAACCUAAGGGUAACCUUUAUCCAGAGGUUCCCAUUUGGUGACAAUUUUCUCUCUCAAGAGACUUUCUGCAAUUUUGGACACAUUUUUGGUUUUCGAAAGAGGGGUGGGGUUUACAACCUGUGUCUAAUGAGUAGAGACCUGGGCUAUCGCUGAACAUCCAACAAGGCGUAGGUCAAUCACUGACAGCUAGGUGUUACCACUUCCAAUGUCAAUGGGACUAACGUGGAGAAACCCUGUCUCUUCCUGUGUGUUGGAUUUAUCACGACCCUGCUUAAAAUGAUCUAAGUAAUUUGUCAUUUAAUUUUGCUGGUUUGGGGGGCACCUGGGUGGCUCAGUCAGUUAAGUGUCUGCCUUUGGCUCAGGUCAUGAUCCCAGGGUCCUGGGAUCAAGCCCCACAUCAGCCUCCCUGCUCAAUGGGAAGCCUGCUUCUCCCUCUGCCCCUCCCGCUCCUUGGGCGCUCUCACGCAUGUGCUCUCUCUCUCUCUCUGUCAAAUAAAUAAAAAAAUCUUUAAAAAAAUUUUUUUUUGCUGGUUUGGGAUUUUAUAAAAAUAGUAUCAUACUGUACGUAGUAUUCUGUGACUUGCUUUUUUUCUCCUUAACACUUUUCUUUUAGUUUUCAUUUAUAAUUUUACCCAUUUAUUUUCACUGGUGUAUACUACUUCAUUGUGUGAAGAUGCCAUAAUGUAUUUUUUAUUCUGUCAUCAAUGAGUAUGUUGUUUUGUUUGUUCAUUGCAUAUAUGAGCAAUGCUUCUAAAACAUUUUUACGCAAAUCUCCUUAAGCAUAUAUGGAACAAUUUCAGUGAAGUAUGUAUCUAGGAUUCAAAACUCUAGGUUGUAGGGGAUGUAACCAUUAAAUGUAAAGGAUAAUGCAAAUUUCGAUGGACUAUUCUGAUUUAUAUUCUCAGCGGCAAGGUUCAUGAUUUUGCCUUGCUCUACAUUUCUCCAAUAUUUGUUAUGUUUUGCUAGUUUUUGCCAAUCUAAGGAGUAUUGAAAGGUAAAUCAAUGUGGCCUCAAUUUACAUCUCCUGAAUUACUGGCAAGAUUGAACAUCUUUUUAUAUGUGUAUUCACCAUGUCUGUUUCUUCUCUGAGGAUCUUGCUUUUCUCUGAAGUUUAUUAGUGUUUUCCAUCUUAUUUGUCAGAUGAAAAAGCCUUCCCCAUUGGUUUGUGACAUUUCCUUUAUUGUGGAAUAUGUUCUUCUAUAAACUAGUCUGUUUUAAAGUUAUCCAUUUUGUUUCAUUUAUCUGUCACUUCUUUGCCAAUAUCAUAUGGUUUUAAUCACCAGAAUUCUAUAUUACAUUUUAUUAUAUGGUAGUGUGAGUGUG